ACAAUGAUGCACAGUGACAUUUGCACACCCAGCUAUGCAUGUCUCUCAGAAGAGACAAAGGACGAAGCAUGGGCUAUGUCUUUUCUGGAAUGAUCUGUAGCGAUCCUACUCACUCGUCUCAACUUUCCACCCACUUUUGACAGCAGCUCACACAGGUCCCAUAGAGGAAUCCCCAUGGGAACAUCAUAGUGUUCCUGAGCCUCAUCACGGUAUCUCUGUGGGGCGCUUCAGACACCUACUAUCCAGAUGCUGCUUUCACAAAUUCACCCGCACCUUUUAACCCUCUCUCCCAAUCUCCAUAGUGA